UACGUAGGGUGCGAGCGUUAAUCGGAAUUACUGGGCGUAAAGCGUGCGCAGGCGGUUUUGUAAGCCAGAUGUGAAAUCCCCGGGCUUAACCUGGGAAUGGCAUUUGGGACUGCAAGGCUCGAGUGCGGCAGAGGAGACUGAAUUCCUGGUGUAGCGGUGAAAUGCGCAGAUAUCAGGAGGAACACCGAUGGCGAAGGCAGGUCUCUGGGCCACUACUGACGCUGAGAAGCGAAAAGCAUUGGGGGAGCGAAACAGG
rnacentral:rRNA from 1 species